AAAUAUUAAUGUAAACGGCCGCCCUAGCGUGAGGGUGCUAAGGUAGCGAAAUUCCUUGCCUUUUGAUUGUAGGCCUGCAUGAAUGGUUUAACGAGGGUUUAGCUGUCUCUAAAUUUUUAAUUGAAAUUGUAUUGAAGGUGAAGAUACCUUCAUUUAAAAGUUAGACAAAAAGACCCCGUGCAACUUUGAAAAUUAACUUUAUUCAGGGGUAAAAGAUUUUUAGGUGGGGCGCCUAGAAAGUAAGCCUAACCUUUCUGAGUAAGAGUUUCUUUCAGGAGUUGACCCGAUUAUAUUCGAUCAUAGGAGAAGUUACGCCGGGGAUAACAGGCUAAUCCUUUAGUAGAGCUCGUAUUGGCUAAAGGGAUUGGCACCUCGAUGUUGAAUCAGGGAUGAUAGCUUCAAGGCGUAGAGGCUUUGAGAGUAGGUCUGUUCGACCUUUAAUACCCUACGUGAUCUGAGUUCAG
rnacentral:rRNA from 1 species